GAAUAAGGGGUGGGCAAGACCGGUGCCAGCCGCCGCGGUAAUACCGGCAGCACGAGUGAUAGUCACUAUUAUUGGGCCUAAAGCGUCCGUAGCCGGCUACACAGGUCCGUCGGGAAAUCCACCCGCUCAACGGGUGGGCGUCCGGCGGAAACCAGGUAGCUUGGGGCCGGAAGACCAGAGGGGUACGUCCGGGGUAGGAGUGAAAUCCUGUAAUCCUGGACGGACCACCGGUUGCGAAAGCGCCUCUGGAGAACGGACCCGACGGUGAGGGACGAAAGCUAGGGUCUCGAACCGGAUUAGAUACCCGGGUAGUCCUAGCUGUAAACGAUGCUCGCUAGGUGCGACGCAGGCUACGAGCCUGCGUUGUGCCGUAGGGAAGCCGAGAAGCGAGCCGCCUGGGAAGUACGUCCGCAAGGAUGAAACUUAAAGGAAUUGGCGGGGGAGCAC
rnacentral:rRNA from 1 species